rnacentral:lncRNA from 1 species
GAAUGUAGAUUUCCAGCCACUGUGAAGAGUAGCGUGUGCAGAGAGAGACAGAUUAGAAGAAGAGAAAUCAAUUAAGAAAUUAAGAAUGGGAAGGGGAAUGUGAAAAAACAAGAACCAAGAUAUAUCAUAUACAGUAUGUGGAUAAUUCAGAAUGCUAAAAUGGAGAGUAAGAAACAAAGGCAUGACUUCUAAGAACUGCGUGGAUGUUUGAAAAUUCCAUUGGAGUGGCUUCUCUCCAAGGUAUAAUGGCUGGGGAGCUGAGGAAAAGAUGCCAACCCAUCCCAGGACUAAUUCUUUUCUUGGCAAUGUCAAGAGCCUGAAUGCGCUGUGGGCCUUUUGACCUAGAAAACCCAAGUUCAUUUCAAGUGGAACUAGAAGGAGCUAACUGACUAACUCAGGGU